GAUCGUUUGACUGGAACUGCAGUGAAGUCCCAGGCUGAAAGACUCAGUAGCUAAAAGGCAAAAUUGUUCAUCUGCGGACAGGGACCGAUACACUGGUCAAUUGUGAAGAAAACCUGCAACCAAAGCAGGGCUGCUCGCUCAGCUGCUGCUCCAACAGAGUCGUGGUGAGUCAGCAGUCAGACAUGCGGCAGUAGGCUAUCCUGGAGUGGAGCCUGGGUCAGAUGACCCCCAAGUUCAGCUAAUUAAGUUAUCCUGGAAAUUACAAGGAAAAUCUCUUCCAAGUUCCUGUCUGAAGUGCCGUGUCCCAAAGAGCAGCAUAAAGCCUCAAACUCUUGGAGA